GUGGGGAAUCUUCCGCAAUGGACGAAAGUCUGACGGAGCAACGCCGCGUGAGUGAAGAAGGUUUUCGGAUCGUAAAGCUCUUUCGUUAGGGACGAACGUGCUCUUUGUGAAUAAUGAGGAGUAAUGACGGUACCUAAAUAAGAAGCCACGGCUAACUACGUGCCAGCAGCCGCGGUAAUACGUAGGUGGCAAGCGUUGUCCGGAAUUAUUGGGCGUAAAGCGCGCGCAGGCGGGAUAUCAAGUCUGUCUUAAAAGUGCGAGGCUCAACCUCGUGAGGGGACAGAAACUGGUAUUCUUGAGUGUCGGAGAGGAAAGUGGAAUUCCAAGUGUAGCGGUGAAAUGCGUAGAGAUUUGGAAGAACACCAGUGGCGAAGGCGACUUUCUGGACGAUGUCUGACGCUGAGGCGCGAAAGCUAGGGGAGCGAACGGGAUUAGAUACCCCAGUAUCC
rnacentral:rRNA from 1 species